rnacentral:sRNA from 1 species
CUAUCCGCUAACCGCCUCCCGCCACACACACACACACCCCGCGCGCGCGCGCACACACACACACACACCCCGCGCGCGCGCACACACACACACCCCACCCCACCACCCCGACCUCCACAUACAUUCCCCCGACCCCCUCCAGCAGCGAAGUCUAAGAGCACCGCGAAGUAAUUUAAAUUUUCGAGGGAAAGCACAGCGCCAUCUGUCGGACAUCAUGCCAAUUACUCUUGUUAAGUUCCGACCUGACGGUUACUUUAUACUUUGAACUGCUAGGUACUCCUUUUGGCCUAAGGACACAGUGAAAAAUGUACCGAGACCUUGGAGAGCCACGAACCAAGAAACUUCAGAAACCUCUGAUAUCUGAUCAAGAGUUAAGAGACGUCAGAAUCAUCACAACUGACAAAAGAAUGUUUUCUCUCUUCAAGAUUCUCUUUUGAAAGACAUCUAAAAAGAAAUAGAUGACAAGAGGGUGCCCAACACACAAGGGGAAUUACAGAAUGCAUCCCCUAAGCAAAGGAAGCAGAGUGUGUACACGCCACCCACCAUAAAAGGGGUUAAGCAUCUGAAAGGCCAGAAUGAAUCAGCGUUCCCUGAAGAAGAAGAAGGCACCAAUGAAAGAGAGGAGCAGCGGGACCAUUAAUUACUGGUCUGCAGCAAGAAGCCUUCUUGGAAAUAACUGAACUAUUAACUUUUCUGAGUAUACCAUGGAAUUCCACUGCUUGACUUCCAGAAGCAUCCUCCAUCUCUGCACCCCACACUCAUACAGUAGCUAUGCACAUCCUGGAAGUCUCCUUGACUGAACUUUAGAACUAAGUACACAUUGUUCCACAUCACUUAUAAUUAAAGAAUAAGCAUUUAUUUUA